rnacentral:rRNA from 1 species
AUGAACGCUAGCUACAGGCUUAACACAUGCAAGUCGAGGGGCAGCAUGGUCUUAGCUUGCUAAGGCCGAUGGCGACCGGCGCACGGGUGAGUAACACGUAUCCAACCUGCCGUCUACUCUUGGACAGCCUUCUGAAAGGAAGAUUAAUACAAGAUGGCAUCAUGAGUCCGCAUGUUCACAUGAUUAAAGGUAUUCCGGUAGACGAUGGGGAUGCGUUCCAUUAGAUAGUAGGCGGGGUAACGGCCCACCUAGUCUUCGAUGGAUAGGGGUUCUGAGAGGAAGGUCCCCCACAUUGGAACUGAGACACGGUCCAAACUCCUACGGGAGGCAGCAGUGAGGAAUAUUGGUCAAUGGGCGAGAGCCUGAACCAGCCAAGUAGCGUGAAGGAUGACUGCCCUAUGGGUUGUAAACUUCUUUUAUAAAGGAAUAAAGUCGGGUAUGGAUACCCGUUUGCAUGUACUUUAUGAAUAAGGAUCGGCUAACUCCGUGCCAGCAGCCGCGGUAAUACGGAGGAUUCGAGCGUUAUCCGGAUUUAUUGGGUUAAAGGGAGCGUAGAUGGAUGUUUAAGUCAGUUGUGAAAGUUUGCGGCUCAACCGUAAAAUUGCAGUUGAUACUGGAUAUCUUGAGUGCAGUUGAGGCAGGCGGAAUUCGUGGUGUAGCGGUGAAAUGCUUAGAUAUCACGAAGAACUCCGAUUGCGAAGGCAGCCUGCUAAGCUGCAACUGACAUUGAGGCUCGAAAGUGUGGGUAUCAAACAGGAUUAGAUACCCUGGUAGUCCACACGGUAAACGAUGAAUACUCGCUGUUUGCGAUAUACGGCAAGCGGCCAAGCGAAAGCGUUAAGUAUUCCACCUGGGGAGUACGCCGGCAACGGUGAAACUCAAAGGAAUUGACGGGGGCCCGCACAAGCGGAGGAACAUGUGGUUUAAUUCGAUGAUACGCGAGGAACCUUACCCGGGCUUAAAUUGCAGAUGAAUUACGGUGAAAGCCGUAAGCCGCAAGGCAUCUGUGAAGGUGCUGCAUGGUUGUCGUCAGCUCGUGCCGUGAGGUGUCGGCUUAAGUGCCAUAACGAGCGCAACCCUUGUUGUCAGUUACUAACAGGUUCCGCUGAGGACUCUGACAAGACUGCCAUCGUAAGAUGUGAGGAAGGUGGGGAUGACGUCAAAUCAGCACGGCCCUUACGUCCGGGGCUACACACGUGUUACAAUGGGGGGUACAGAGGGCCGCUACCACGCGAGUGGAUGCCAAUCCCCAAAACCUCUCUCAGUUCGGACUGGAGUCUGCAACCCGACUCCACGAAGCUGGAUUCGCUAGUAAUCGCGCAUCAGCCACGGCGCGGUGAAUACGUUCCCGGGCCUUGUACACACCGCCCGUCAAGCCAUGGGAGCCGGGGGUACCUGAAGUGCGUAACCGCGAGGAGCGCCCUAGGGUAAAACUGGUGACUGGGGCU